rnacentral:rRNA from 1 species
AGCAGCCGCGGUAAUUCCAGCUCCAAUAGCGUAUAUUAAAGUUGUUGCAGUUAAAAAGCUCGUAGUUGAAUUUCGAGACCGGCUUACUGGUCGUGCUUUUGUACGUACUGGUAUAAUCGGUUUCUCCUUUCUGACGAACUAUAAUGCCAUUAAUUUGGUGUUAUAGGGAAUCAGGACUGUUACUUUGAAAAAAUUAGAGUGUUUAAAGCAGGCUCACGCUUGAAUACAUUAGCAUGGAAUAACGGAAUAGGACGUUUGAUUCUAUUUUGUUGGUUUCUAGGAUCGACGUAAUGAUUAAUAGGGAUAGUUGGGGGCAUUAGUAUUCAAUUGUCAGAGGUGAAAUUCUUGGAUUUAUUGAAGACUAACUACUGCGAAAGCAUUUGCCAAGGAUGUUUUCAUUAAUCAAGAACGAAAGUUAGGGGAUCGAAGACGAUCAGAUACCGUCGUAGUCUUAACCAUAAACUAUGCCGACUAGGGAUCGGAUGAUGUUAAUUUUUUAAUGACUCAUUCGGCGCCUUAC